GAUGAACGCUGGCGGCGUGCCUAACACAUGCAAGUCGAGCGUGAAGGUUAUGACGGAUUCUUCGGAUGACGGAUUAACUGGAAAGCGGCGGACGGGUGAGUAACGCGUGGGUAACCUGCCCUACACACUGGGAUAGCCAUUGGAAACGAUGAUUAAUACCGGAUAACACUUCUGAAACACAUGUUUCUAAAGUCAAAGAUUUAUCGGUGUAGGAUGGACCCGCGUCUGAUUAGUUUGUUGGUGAGGUAACGGCUCACCAAGACUACGAUCAGUAGCCGACCUGAGAGGGUGAUCGGCCACACUGGAACUGAGACACGGUCCAG
rnacentral:rRNA from 1 species